UUGGUGGGGAUUGGAUGGGAUUGAGGGGGAUUUUAUCCUCUACAAGUCAAAAUCCCUCUCGCCCCCCUUUGAUCCCCUCCAAUCUGCUGGGAUUGCUGAUUAACUGAACAAGCCCGAAGAAAUUUUGGUGAAAGACCAGUAGGUUGUAGCUUUUGUUUUGACAGUUGCUGGGCAGCUGGCAAAGUGGUGCCUGUAAUGUGAUGUUUUUCUUUUCUUGUUAUGGGAGCACGGCUGCUAGCUUGUUAAUAUUUCAGUGGAAAGAAAUGUUCUCCACCUGGUUGUACUUCUCCAUUAACACAAUGUGUUAUUUGGAUUGGUACCACUACAAUUCUCAGAUCUGCCAAUACAAAUCCAAAAUUCUGAAAUGUACCAUUAUAAUUCUCUGUUUCCCUCAGCAAUGCCAUUUUCUAUGUCUUCCAGCUGCUUGGGCCUACUGUCAGGUGUAUGCGUACUGUAUGUCUUUCUGUAUGGACCUUUUCGUCCGUGUCCCAUUGUGAAAGGAGCCUGCGCCUGUGGCCCUAGCUCGCACUCUCUUCUUCCUCUUGCUCACUCUGUUUCUCUUCUUCCCCGACUGCACAAAUUGGCAGAGAUGUGGAGAUUGUCACUUUGCAAAAACAUACAAACUGGCAGAUAUUGGAGAAGAUGGUGAGAGAGCUCCACCAAGGAACAAGGCUAACAAAAUGAAAGAAGCUCCAUCAGAUGAAGCUGGUCCCUCCAAAGCCAAAAAAAGAAAGUUCAGAAGAAGGGCGCCCCAAAGAAGUAGGCACACAUAAAUAAGAAGCUGAAGAAAGCUACAACCAACCCAUAUAUUACAGUUGUUAGUAGCAUCAGGAGGCUAGUCUACGAAGACUAGAGCCUGUGAGCUGCUUAUGAUAUGCUUUUGUAAUAAAUUUAGAACUUGUAUGCUGGUAUGAUCUGCUUUUGCGAGAUGUGGCUUUGGACUAGUAAUUGGUAUGCAGGAACCUUGUAGUUGGUAUGCUGGAACCUAGUGGUUUGUGAACCUGGGAUGUUAAUUUAAGAACUUCUGUACUGAUUUAUUGUUGGUCAGUUCUAUCAAUGAAAUGACAGAUCAUGGUCUAA